CGGUAAUACGGAGGGUGCAAGCGUUAAUCGGAAUUACUGGGCGUAAAGCGCACGCAGGCGGUCUGUCAAGUCGGAUGUGAAAUCCCCGGGCUCAACCUGGGAACUGCAUUCGAAACUGGCAGGCUAGAGUCUUGUAGAGGGGGGUAGAAUUCCAGGUGUAGCGGUGAAAUGCGUAGAGAUCUGGAGGAAUACCGGUGGCGAAGGCGGCCCCCUGGACAAAGACUGACGCUCAGGUGCGAAAGCGUGGGGAGCAAACAGGAUUAGAUACCCUGGUAGUCCACGCCGUAAACGAUGUCGACUUGGAGGUUGUGCCCUUGAGGCGUGGCUUCCGGAGCUAACGCGUUAAGUCGACCGCCUGGGGAGUACGGCCGCAAGGUUAAAACUCAAAUGAAUUGA
rnacentral:rRNA from 1 species